AGCUUUUUAGUAUAAAUUUAUUGUAUUUUUAAUUGCAAAUUAAAAGGUUAAAAAGGUUUAA
rnacentral:tRNA from 1 species